rnacentral:lncRNA from 1 species
GUAUCCAGAGCAAUCCUGACCUCAGAUAACUUUUAGUGAUGUGCAUUUCUUUUAAUAUUGUGGCAUGUAUCUAGGUAAUGUAUUGAUUAAAGUAUGCUAUGUAUGUUAUUUAUUUGUGAAUUAGUGAUAAGUUAUCCGAUAUGUCCGGUAAUGCUCCGUAAUCUAGUUCCGGCGACGGAUACGGGUUGGGGGUGUUACACUCCAAAGGUGAUAUGACCCUUAUGCUAAUACCUAUAACUCAGGGUGGAAAUAUCAUCUCAACUUGAGUUACGAAGCUAACCUACAGUACAACCAGCCAUACCAAAACCUGAUUCCACAACAGCCGUGAGAUUCAAGUACCUCGCUAGAAACCAUGGUCAAUAAAUUAGCAGCU